rnacentral:rRNA from 1 species
CACGUAGGCACCAAGCGUUGUCCGGAUUUAUUGGGCGUAAAGAGCUCGUAGGCGGUUCGGUAAGUCGGGUGUGAAAACUCUGGGCUCAACCCAGAGCCGCCACCCGAUACUGCUGUGACUUGAGUUCGGUAUGGGGAGCGGGGAAGUUCCUGGUGUAGGCGGUGAAAUGACGCAGAUAUCAGGAGGAACACCAGUGGCGAAGGCGCCGCUCUGGGCCGAGACUGACGCUGAGGAGCGAAAGCGUGGGUAGCAAACAGG